UACGGGGGGAGCAAGCGUUGUUCGGAUUUACUGGGCGUAAAGGGCGCGUAGGCGGCGCGACAAGUCACUUGUGAAAUCUCUGGGCUUAACUCAGAGCGGCCAAGUGAUACUGUCGUGCUAGAGUGCGGAAGGGGCAACUGGAAUUCUCGGUGUAGCGGUGAAAUGCGUAGAUAUCGAGAGGAACACCUGCGGCGAAGGCGAAUCCCUGGAAAAUAUCUGACACUGAGGCACGAAAGCUAGGGGAGCGAACGGG
rnacentral:rRNA from 1 species